AGAGCGAACGCUGGCGGCGUGCUUAACACAUGCAAGUCGAACGCGCAGCAUUCUGUAGCAAUACAGAUUGUGGGCGCGUGGCGAACGGGUGCGUAACACGUGGAUAACCUUCCUUCAGGUGGGGAAUAACCCAGUGAAAAUUGGGCUAAUACCGCAUAACAUGACGAUGGCUCAUGCCGUUGUCUUCAAAGGCGCAAGUCGCCAGAAGAGGGAUCCGCGGCCGAUUAGCUAGUUGGCGAGGUAAUGGCUCACCAAGGCAUUGAUCGGUAGCCGGACUGAGAGGUUGGCCGGCCACACUGGAACUGAGACACGGUCCAGACUCCUACGGGAGGCAGCAGUGGGGAAUCUUGCACAAUGGACGAAAGUCUGAUGCAGCAACGCCGCGUGGGGAUGAAGCUUUCGGAGUGUAAACCCCUUUCGACCCGGAAGAAAGCCGCAAGGGUUUGACGGUACGGGUAUAAGAAGCCCGGCUAACUACGCGCCAGCAGCCGCGGUAA
rnacentral:rRNA from 1 species